UAGGUAGUGAGAAUAAAAUGCUCAGUUAAAGCUUGAACCAAGACGUGGUAUCAUCGGUACAGUAGUUCUUAUUUUUGGUUACUGGUAUCAUUAACGUUUGGAUUUCUAAUUACUGGUGGAUGGAUAUUAAUAUUUUGUAGGAAUAACACAAAAUAUUGAAGAAACUCGGGUGGCAUAUUGUUCUUAUACUAGCUUUUGGACUUUCAUGCAUUUUUGGGGUUGAUUUUCCAACAUUCGGCAGUGAUUGAGCCCAUCUUAACACCUUGAUUUCAAUUGAAGGAUUCUCUAUCUGGCUGCCGUAGUGUGAUGUCGGCAAAAAAGAGAUGCUUUGACGAAAAGAUGUGGUAAUGACAUAAGAACCUACAGUAGAGGGAAUAACUCAGAACCUUCUACCUAGUCGAUGGCAUAAAUAACUUUUGUCAACAGAAAGUGGAAGAAUGGAAGAAAGUAGACAUUGAUUCCAGUAAACACUGCAUAUCUUCAAAUUAAGCUUGAGUCAUUAAAGAAUUAGUGAUCUUAUUACGGUAGCUGUCUGUGUCAUCACAAAGCCUUCAUCGUUUUUGUCAAGUGGCGGUUUGCUAAUAUUUGUUGUUAUGCGACAACUAUAAAAGAUUACACACUGGUAGUGAGUAGAAUGAUGCCGCCAGUGAUGGACGAUGACAACGAGUACGUCAUCCUGCUAGACCACUCUAAUUCCCACCGUUGAGCACCCCAUGUCCAUGUGCCGCCUGAUGCGUAUCACCGGGCACUUAAAACAUUAGAAGCUGAUCAAGCACUGACCUGGUUUAAGCCUGCCAUCAUGUUCUUGAUAACAGCAUGCACAGGUGAUGAGCUCUGAUAUCACAGCUGCGUACCUUACGUCAUCUGCUCAAUGUGCAGAUGUGUCCUGGAGACUUACGAAUGCUUCAACAUAAUGGCAUGGAUCAUUACCAUUCUCUUCUAGAUAUAAAGCUGCUGAAAUUUUGUAUCAUUUUGAAGCAAAGUAUUACUGUUUUUAUGGACAUAAUUUUAUUUCAUUAUACAGUGCAACCCUUUAUUAAGAGGACGCCUUCAGGACAAAAAAAAAAGUGUUCCCUGAAUAGAGGCUGAUCAUAGUGUUAAAAGAUACUGUAUAUUUUUCUCACUUUGUGGCAAAAAAGUGUCUGCUUAAUAGGUACCGGUAUGUCCCCAAAGGAGUGGUUCUAUUGUAAUCUACAGUAUAUUGAAUGAACUUUUAAAUGAUUUUCUUACAUUGUAAGACUUCAUAUCAAAUCAUUAAUAAAGAUGUAUUAGACAUCAUGACAAUGCUUUUUGGUAAAUGUUGUUAAAUAUACCACAAUAUAGUUUUUAGACAGUGUAAUAUAAUGUGUACUAUUUUUUUUAUGUUGAAAUGGCAGAAUGGGAUUCAUGUUGUUACUCUAAAUAAUUUUUCUCUCCCAUCCCUACUUUCUCUCCUACACCCCCCCCCCCAAGCCAUUUUACUGCCUUCUCUCCCACCUAUGCACUCACCUAUCUCACCUCCUGUCAUGUCAUCCUGUACAUAAAAAACUUUUGAUUUAACUCUUUUGAAUAUCAAUUCAGUUUCACUGUCAGAAUUUUUCGUGGCACAUUUGUUCAAAUCACUAAAAUCUGGCAACAGCCCAAGUGUACUGCAUUUGACCUGUCUGACCUGCUGGGCAAGUUUAUCUACCUAACUGGCCUAAGGAAUCAGAGAGUUAUAGGUGAUGCCAAAAAGGGUACUGUACUAGUAUUUACUGUACUUCAUCAUUGAUAAUACCUACCAGUUGCUUUACAUGAUCCUCACCUCAGAUAUGCUAUUAAUGCAGUUCGUAGAUUGAAGAUGUUAGUUUAUUCUCAUGAAUAGGAAUGGAUGGAUUUCCAAUACAAGACAAAAUAAACUGUAAUGUUGCUUGCUCCUUCUAGGUAGAGCUGCAAAUCUUUAAUAAAAACGUUCAGAAAAAUUCUUCAAUAAAAUUCAAAGAUUCUUGUA
rnacentral:lncRNA from 1 species